CGAUACACUGAUAAGAAAGCCUCGACCAACUUCUGUCUCGUCCUGACCAGUUUGUGUUCACGAUUACAAUGAUGAAGUCUUUAGCGUUUGUUCUCCUUGCCGUUUGCGUGAUUGGCAGUGUCACCUCCAAGUCACUGGCAGCCAAAUCUCUGUUGGACACCCUCCUCGGUCACCAUCAUGGCUGUAUUGGCCAACUGGUUAACUGCUUUGCAGACCCAUGUAUGAUGGGAACUUGUUCUGACGCGUCGGCAGUACGUUGUGUCGCAAACUACUGUGGUGGUUGUAAUGCUGAUUGGUAUGAUCUGAACGGUAACGUUGUGUCGACCUGCUAGACAACUAGAAAAUGAUAAUGCUGCCCUACAUCUGCCCCACCCACCGAAUACUUCUUUACGAAUAAACAGUCUUUUGCUUUUUUUGUAAAGUUUUAUACUAUUAAACAUUGUACUCAAACAAA